GACGAACGCUGGCGGCGUGCCUAAUACAUGCAAGUAGAACGCUGAAGGAGGAGCUUGCUCUUCUGGAUGAGUUGCGAACGGGUGAGUAACGCGUAGGUAACCUGCCUGGUAGCGGGGGAUAACUAUUGGAAACGAUAGCUAAUACCGCAUAACAGUAGAUGUUGCAUGACAUUUGCUUAAAAGGUGCAAUUGCAUCACUACCAGAUGGACCUGCGUUGUAUUAGCUAGUUGGUGGGGUAACGGCUCACCAAGGCGACGAUACAUAGCCGACCUGAGAGGGUGAUCGGCCACACUGGGACUGAGACACGGCCCAGACUCCUACGGGAGGCAGCAGUAGGGAAUCUUCGGCAAUGGACGGAAGUCUGACCGAGCAACGCCGCGUGAGUGAAGAAGGUUUUCGGAUCGUAAAGCUCUGUUGUAAGAGAAGAACGAGUGUGAGAGUGGAAAGUCCACACUGUGACGGUAUCUUACCAGAAAGGGACGGCUAACUACGUG
rnacentral:rRNA from 1 species